UGGGGAAUUUUGGACAAUGGGCGAAAGCCUGAUCCAGCAAUGCCGCGUGUGUGAAGAAGGCCUUCGGGUUGUAAAGCACUUUUGUCCGGAGAGAAAUCCUUGGCUCUAAUACAGUCGGGGGAUGACGGUACCGGAAGAAUAAGCACCGGCUAACUACGUGCCAGCAGCCGCGGUAAUACGUAGGGUGCAAGCGUUAAUCGGAAUUACUGGGCGUAAAGCGUGCGCAGGCGGUUUGCUAAGACCGAUGUGAAAUCCCCGGGCUCAACCUGGGAACUGCAUUGGUGACUGGCAGGCUAGAGUAUGGCAGAGGGGGGUAGAAUUCCACGUGUAGCAGUGAAAUGCGUAGAGAUGUGGAGGAAUACCGAUGGCGAAGGCAGCCCCCUGGGCCAAUACUGACGCUCAUGCACGAAAGCGUGGGGAGCAAACAGGAUUAGAUACCCUGGUAGUCCACGCCCUAAACGAUGUCAACUAGUUGUUGGGGAUUCAUUUCCUUAGUAACGUAGCUAACGCGUGAAGUUGACCGCCUGGGGAGUACGGUCGCAAGAUUAAAAGCUC
rnacentral:rRNA from 1 species